GAGGAUAUGAUGACCCUUUCUCCAGACGAUCGACAGUGAACAUAUUGAGCGCCAUAAUUUCUCUUUUGAGAAAACCAAGCCAGAAUUCUGAUCCUC
rnacentral:snoRNA from 1 species